UGCAUUAAGGAACUAUCUGCAGAAAGACACAAGAUCAAAUUAAGACAGAAACAAUAGUUAGUUUGAGGAAAUUCAGUUAAAGAUCCUACUAAACAGGCUCUUACUUUCCCGCCAGUUGAAUCAACUACAACUAUCCUGUAAUGCAAUAAUACAGUUGGCGUGGCAUCUUCUAGCUUCUAGCUAUCUUCUUCAAUAGCUUCUGUAUCCAUCCUCUGCAAUCUCCAUCUAGCUCACUUCAACUAGAUUGAGCUAGAAUUGAGCUUAACUAAGGAGAUUAACGGGUCUCACUACAAAAAAACGGCGAGUUUGCGGAGGUUUAAGUGAGGCGGUUAUUGCAACCUCCACAAUUUAUAUCAAAUUGGGGGGUUUAUACAACCCCUACAAAUGUAUUAGAUUUGCCCGUGGUCUAUAACCUCCGCCAACCUUAAAAAAUAAAAGCGCGUACUAACCCCAAAUUUUCCCUCUUUUUUGAACCUUUCCCUCUUUUUUUUGGAAACCCCUCAAUAAUUUCAUUGCGCUUUAGUCGUAUAUUUUCUACUUUCAUGAAAGAGAAGCUUUUCAGCUUCCAUUUUCUUUCACUUGAAAAAUUAAAACCCUCACUUGAAGAUUAGAAAAACUGAAAGAGAUUCACAAUACGUUCUCCACAAUAUGAAAGAGAUGCAAAUUUUUGCUUUCUUCCCCAUUCUUUGAUUUUGAACAAUGUGGAUUGUGGGUUCAGAUCUAUGAAGUUUUUGUUGAAUCGGUGUAUUUUGAAGAAGGAUACAACACUCUCUUUUUGAAUUUGAGAUAAUACUAGAGAUGCUGCCCAUGGUUCAACAGUUGAAAUUCCUCUUGAUAGUGCGAAGGAUCUGAAAAAGAAGGAGAAGGACCUACAAGCUCGAGAGGCUGACCUGAGAAGAAGAGAACAAAUUAAAAAGGAGCUAGCAAGAUACUUAACGUGAAGAAAAGGGACGUGUUAAAUUUGUCUAAUGGAGAACGUAUUGUGGUUGAUUUUGACGACACGGAUCCUCGUUCAAUGCCAAUUGAUGCGGCUAGCGGAUCCAUUUCACCCAUGGAUAUAAGAAGAUCAUCCGGUGGAAGUAAUCCUAACGACAACCAUUGAAGUUGCUUGCAAAUGUAUUAGAUAAUUAAGUAACGUACUCGAUUGAAUGGUGAUCUUUUGUCCAUAAUGGUUGGAGUGGAUGUUCUGUUUAAAGUUAGUUUUAAGACUAAUUAAAAUAUUGAUGUUUUGUGUUUAAUGGUUAGAGUACUUGUGUUUAAAGCAAAUUUUUGAGACUAAUGAUAAUUUACUUUAAUGUAUUUUAUGGUUUAUUAA